rnacentral:rRNA from 1 species
UGCCAGCCGCCGCGGUAAUACGGAGGGUGCAAGCGUUGUUCGGAAUUAUUGGGCGUAAAGCGCGUGUAGGCGGUUCGUUAAGUCUGAUGUGAAAGCCCGGGGCUCAACCCCGGAAGUGCAUUGGAAACUGGCGAACUUGAGUACGGGAGAGGAAAGUGGAAUUCCGAGUGUAGGGGUGAAAUCCGUAGAUAUAGGAAGGAACACCGAUGGCGAAGGCACCUUACUGGGCUAUUACUAACACUCAGAGACGAAAGCUAGGGUAGCAAAUGGGAUUAGAUA